CAUCGACGGGGCGGGAGGUGGGGGCGCUGCCCCGCGCCUUUGUUCAGCGGGGAGAGGACCUGCGGCGGAGCCGAGACGACCGCGCAGAUAGGCACGCACCCGGCAGCGCGGCCCCGCGCCCACGGGACGAGGAGGAGGAGGGAGGCAGAAGGUCCCCUUGCAGCCUCCCUCACUCUCUCCCUCCCUCCAAGGUCAAAACAUGGCUGUCCAAAGAAUGGGAUGCUUGCCAAAACAUCAAUCUGUGCUGAGUGCCAUACUCAUUAUCCUUCCAGUGGUGGAUUACAACUCGGGUCUCCUCAGGAGGUGACUGAUGUGGAACAAACUGUACGACUGUCUUUGCUGUUUGGAUACGUGUGUAAGUUAACGGGCUACUGGGAGAAGAUGAAGAGGCUUUUGCAGAAAAAUGAGGAUAUCAUGGGAAGUGCUGCUGCUAACCAUUUGGAUUAUAUUGCUGUCUGACACAGAAGUUCUGCAGAUUACGUAAGGAACUCUCCAGAUCUUUUUUGUUAUGUGAUUGCUGAAGCAUUUUCCUGGCACAGCAGUAAUGAUUGAUGAACACACUUCAGGUAGGAAACCAGAUAUAUUCCAUUUGGUACAGUUGUUCAUUAACUUUCCUCACAUUGUUUUGGUUAAGUUUCAGUAGAAUCAGUCUUCAACAUUACAGCAUCAAAAUUCACUGAAUAUAAAAUAUAAAUAAUCUCUUGUCCACAUGAAUGUUUGCAUAUGUCUCUCUGUAAAUCAUCACGAACGGGUUUUUGGUUUUCCUCCCAGGUUUGGUAACUUUGACAACAGAUGACGUUACAUGUUAAAUUGGGUUUUAAUGAUCGAAAGAUUAUUGUAAAAUACAGUCUGUCACUACUAAUUCUUCUAUCAACCCACCUGCUCCUUCAGGAAUUAGUUCCAUCUACUUUAACUUAUACCAGAUUGGAACAUCUAUUCCAGAAGGCUUUACUUCUCUUAAGCCACACUUUCUCUGCUGAAAAAUAAAAUUUUGAUGUUGACCCCUUACUAAACUUUUUACCAGCUAGGCUGCUCAUAGUUUUCUAAAAAUAUCACCAUAAAGAGGGAAGCAAUAAAUUUUUUUGCGUAUCUGUAGUGAAUUCCAAUCUGCCCCACUGGGGAGAUACUGGAUCCAGCAAAUUCUUUUCUACUAGCCCUUGUGAUUCAAUUCUGGUCACACAGAUUUUGCACAAAGACCUGUAGUGGUCAUGACUUGCUUGAUGAAGGUUCCUAGUCUUGAUGAAGGUUUCUAGUCUUUCUGCUCAUAUCUCAACUUUUAAAAUAGACUUCAUAAAAUGCAUUUUUUUCUGAACAAAUGAAUUUCUAUAAAAGAUCUGUUUCCAUUAAAACCACCAAGAAUGUAAUGUAAAUAGAGUGGAAAGAUAUGUGCCAGUACUGUAUUUUAGCAUAAAGCUGCAAGAUUUUUGCUCAGUCUUGCUAUGUACAAAAGUUAUGUGAUACUGAUAAACUAUAAGAUUAUCAGUAAUAUGUAGUUAUCCUCUGCAAUUGAUUAGAAUUGUGGGUACAAAUGAGCUGGCUACUGUUAUAGUCUUUAUUGUUGCUACAGUAUAAAAGAAUUUCCUUCAUUUACUAUUGAAUUUAAUUUUGCGUUAGCAGUUACAGCUGUAGGCCUGAAUAUAAGGGCAGUUUCUGAAUAUCUUGAGUGGCUUUAAUACCUGUUCUUCGAGGUUGUGCCAAUCCAGGGAAUAGUGUUCAAAUUGUUGAUACUCUUGGAAGUUAACCCAAGCUCUUUAAAGCCCACCCAAAGGCAAGCAAGUAACAUUGGUUUUGAUUCAAUAAAUCAAAUUCAUUUUGCUCUGUCACACUCUUCCUGGGAGGCCAAGGAACUCCCAGUCCUCACAUCAGCGGGAAGUGCCUGGGUACCUAUGUGCUUGCAUUCCUAAUGAAGAAAAUUAGGAGGAUGAUGCACAAAAAAGUACUCUGGGAAAAACUCCUGGGCCCAGGGGUGCGUUGAGCCCUCUGUUCAUGUGGGCCUUGUUAUACUGGUAGCAUAGAGCUGCUGGAAAGUUGCUGCACAGAGUUGCCAACAUACAUUUCAGCUGAAGCAAAAAAGUGGUGUCUGAGUACAUGCCUUUAUUUCUGGUGUCCAGUUGUCCUCUUUUUUUUUUCUUCUUCCUUUUCAAGAGUACUGUGGAGAUAAGCAUGGCAAAGACUCCACUAUGUCCAUGUGGGACCCAGAUGUUUACUUUGCCUUCAGAUAAGGAUACAAAAUACACAAAUGGACGACCUUGGGGUGUUACUUUGUUCUGCAACUGCUCUGGGUUCUAAGAGCAUAAACACAACAAACACAGUGUCAUUGUUGGUUAGAUUGAGGAUACAGUUUAAGUCUAAACCUUAUAAGGCAUAGCAGACAACUGUCCUAGAUAGAGUGGCUGGUAUCUGAUGCCAGGGGAGAAGAAGGGUGCAAAACCAGCAUGUGGUUGCUUUCCAUCUCAACUGCUCAUAGUCUGCAGAUGAAGGACCUCUGUGUUGAGUAGCCUUGAGUAUAAUUUUCCCAUUCCAUGAAUUUUUUUGAGCUAUGUUAUCCCAGGUGAUUUCUGGGCUUUGUGAUUCUGCGCCAUUCAGAAUUCCCCAACUGAAUGCAAUGCUGUGAGGGAGAGAGCCCUCCUUGUCUAUGUCUUAGACCUCCUGCUUGCUGAUGUCACUUAAUCUGGAGACUAGGAUAAUGUGCCAGGAGAUCCAGGAGUUGCACAGUGCCUUUUCUGCUCUAGUGGGAUAGUGGAAAUGGAGGGUGGCUGCUAAGCUUUAAAGACAGUAUUUUUUUAAAGAGUUAUGAAGUGAAAUGAAACUGAAGGAUUUCUGUGACUCUGAUUACUGUCACCUUCAAAAUAUAUGGAUUUGAAGCAACUUUUCACAUCUGCCUUGCCUUCAUCUUUGAGCUCAUUUUCCAUGCUUUUAAUUAAUACAUAUAGUAUCAUUAUUUUACACGGAGAUCAAGUAAUUUGGACUUGUGUCCAUUUUGUUCCACUCCUCUGAAUUUCAGAAAUAAAAGAAGGUGCUUAGUCUCCCAAGCUGUGAGGCACUUAUCCUGGCAGGUUUUUUUUUCUGAUAGAAUUCAAGAUUGCAUAGAAGAAACUACCUAAGUUGAAAUAUCAUAGGGACGCAGGCUCUGAAUUAAGCCUUCCAGCAAGGCAUUGAAACAUAGGACUAUUAAUCAAAAUAUAUUUACAUAUUACAUAUAAAAAUAAAAAGAUAUAUAUAUCCUUCAAAACACUGCUGUUAACUUCACAGGAAUUUAGGUGGGUUUUAAAAAAAAGAAAAGUAUUUAAUAGCGUAUUUGCUGCAGAAUCAUUGUGUUGAAGACCUGACUCCAUGUGUUGCAACUACUACAUCAAGGCUAUAAAAGGAAGCGUGUACAUUGUAUAAAUUUACCUGACUUGGUUAGAUGGUGUGUCACAAAAAUAUACUGAGCAGUAUAUAUAAUAUUAACUACUGCAGUAGAAUUGUCAAACAGAAGGCUGUGGCUUCUGUACUGAAGAUGAUUCUCUUUAGAAUAAAACCCUUAGAUGUAUUAAGAAUUGAAUACAGAUUAUUACAGUUUUAAGAGUAAAGGCUUUUAAAAUUAUGGAAAAGCAGACAGAACCAAAAAAAAAAAAAAAAAAAAGAAAACAACUCUUAGCUAAAAUCUAGUUGAAGGCUAAUAAUUUUAUUAUACUGAUUCUCCUUGUUGGCAAAUAAUAUUCUGGAGAAAAAAUUAUUGCAGCUAGGUGAAAGUUGAGUUUAUUUUUGCUCUCACUUUUUUGGUUUUCUUCCAAUUGCAGUGAAGGUCUUGGACUUGCUAUUUGAUCCUGAUUACAGAGCCAACUUAACAUUGUACAUGUAUUUUUCAUCCAGACUGCCCUCAUUUUUCCUUCUGUGCUUGUAUUUGGGAAAGAAAAUAAUAAGACAGCUCUUAGGAAGGGUCACCUUAUUGUCCAGGGCUUUCAUCUGAAUCCUUCUAAGAUAGAAAGCAAGUUGGGUGCAGCAUAUCACUUAAGGAUUUUUCAUUUGAGGACAACUCCCUUGCCUUUGUUCUGAUGGCUCAUGCAAAAGCACACGAAAGGUUGCUAAGACAUCUUUCUCAGUCAAAGAAAUCAACUGGACACCUUGUUCCUCAAGUCCCCAGAAAAUGGGUGGGCGUUUGCCUUUGAAUCCCUUCUGGGAAGCUGCUGGAUGCUGAAUUUGCCCAUGGCAAGACCAGCUGUUUAAUGGAGAACAAACAGAAUAAAACUCAAAUGGCAGGCCUUGCAAGACUGAACUGUGGCUGGAGCGAGUGCUUACUGUUUUAAGUAUUCAAAAAGGCAGGCUGGUAAGAAAGACAGCAAAUGCCCUGUGCUUGCCUAUGCAGGAAGGAGUGGUUGAGAAUGUGUGGAAGAGGAGAAAGUGAACUGGCCAAUUUGAUUAGACUAAAGAGAAUAAGGCUUAGCCACAGAUCAUUUGAAUGCAUGUGAAUAUGCAGAGGUAGAUUGUUUCUUGACGGAAACUUGUAACAAAUUGAAAAUACAGAGCUGAGGUUUUCUUUUAAUUUUUCUUUUUUGUAACAGGAUAUAACUGACUGUAAACUUUGGCAAGACUCGAAUACCUGAAUGGCUCUUGAAACUCUGUUAGUGUUCUUCUAAAAUUGAUUCUAGAACAGGGCUAAAUUAGAAACUUUUCUAUAUUCUUCUUCAUGUUAAUUAGAUGAAACAGAAAGUUUUAUACUUGUUCAGAAAGAGGUCAAAGCAAGCAACAAAUUGAGCAUAGGAGAGCCAAACAAGGAUAAGUAAUGAACCAGUUUCUCAAACUGGCAAACUAGGAGUUUGAAAAAAGUAUACUUGCAGGCUUCCUAUAUUAUUAUAACCUCUUGAACAGAAUAAUCCAGUCCAAACAGCUAUAAAUGCUUUCCAAUAGAGAAGUUUAUGACCUAGUUUCAGACUGAAAUGCUCACAGUAUUGCAGUGUGUGGAAGAACUUAAAAGAAGAUGCUAGUGGCAAUGCCUUUGGAGCAACUCUGUGUAUUUAGGCAUUCCUGCCCUUUGCAAAUACUUGCUAAGUGGAGUCAAGUGGAGUCAACUUCCAAAGCAUGGCGCUUUUUUCUUCAGCAGGAGACUUCAUAAUUUAAAUACCUGGGUUGACAUGGGGAGUUUUCAUAGGAUGUCUGAUUUUUAUUUUUUAAACAUAGCACUAUUUGGAAAAAUAAUCAUUCUUCCAGUUAUUUCAACAGGAAUUCAGCAAUUACAGAAUGCCUCUCUACAUCCUGUGGUCCUCUGGAGCAGCGAAGCAGGAAAAGGUGGAUUUCAUCUGUUGAUGAUUCUUCUGUAGUGAGAUGAGGAAAGCUUUGAUUAGGCUUCAUUUGAUUCAUGAUCCUUCUGCAAGCAAGUUCAAGGGAAUGUGCUGAGGGGGUAGGCACAAAAAACACUGAACCUGUGAUUUGAACAGCAACUUGUUUUAAAUUGAAGAAAUGUUUCUUCACUUCUGUAUGCUCUUGUGGUAGGCAUUGGAGCAAACCAGAUUUUGAUAAAGAUGGCCUAGGGAGAGGCUGGCCAAGUUGGUGGUUCUGUAAUGGGGAGGAAGUAUGACAGCACUGAACAAUACAAGCUGUUGGAAGUUGGAGGAUUUUGAUAGUGCUCCCUUUUCCUUUGACUUGAUGGUAUCACUGAAAGCAAGGGAGCUAUGCUGAUCAACACUAUAUACCCAUUUCUUCUGCUCCCUCAGGCAGGCUGGAGUGAUUUUGAGAGCAUAGAUCAUUUAUGUCUCAGCCAAGAAGCAUUUCUGCAUGCUGCUAAAAUACAUUAAAUAAUAUUCGGUUUGCAUAGCAAGAGCUCUAGUUAAAAUUCCUACAGUGUUUCAGUUAUUCUUUUAUUAUUCCAGUUGCUUAUAACUUCCUGAAAUGCUCAUGUCUCAAGUUGAAAUUUUCCAGACUUGAUCUUGGCCUGACAAUGACCUUUCUUCCCUUUUCUUCUUUGUUUCUCUAUUCUCUGAGGUAUUAAGUGAAUAUGGCUAAGACGUUUCUUUUUUAAUGAGAAGAAAAUAGUAGAAAAAUAUGUUUUGGUUAUUACUUUAAGACUCUGAGAUUGUGAAUAGCACAAGUGGUACAGCUGUUUGAGAAAUGGUGGUGAAAAUCCGCAGAAGUGCUCCUUAAAUCUUUGCAGAAUCAGUAAGAGAUGGCCACUCAAAAUUUUAAGUCUUAAAACUUAAGUUUUUUUCAUCAUGUGCAAGCAUUAUGCUCUUUCAUAAUUAUCACGUGCAGUUAAUUUGGCCUGAUCAGUGAACUGACUGUUGGAGUCAAAUGAAGGAGUUAUCCUUGCUGAAAGAACAGAUCUGUUUUUCAUUGCUUGCCACAGCCCUGGUGGCACAGAGCUCAUAAUGUGAGACCAGAAUAGCACAGCUGGUGAGCGUUGCACUGGACCUGCUGCCUUUGGGACGCUCUUCCUGCUCUAACCAGGGCUCAGUUCUGGUUGAAAACGUUGGUGUUCUUGGAAAUUGCUCUGAACAGAAAGCUGUUAAAAACAAAUCUUUAUUUUUAAAUAAACUUUCUGACUGGCUCUUCUCAAGAUGAAGGCUGAAGUAGUGUAGAGCAGAACUGUAGAGAAGGGGAUGUGUACUUAGGAUAGAAGGAAAUUGUAAGGUGCUUUCCUUUAAAUUAAUGUUGCUUACACAGAUUAUAUAUAGACAUUUUAAGAAUAUUGAUGGUGAUUGUAUUGAUAAACAGCUGUUUAUGUUUUUCUUCUUCUUGACUCAUAAGGUUUAUUUCAAGGAAGAAAAAGUCGUGUAUCUGAUUGCUUACUUGCACACAGCCAGUCUUUCCCUGUAAGAUUAGGGUAUUUGCAGAGGAUGCCCACUGUGCAUAUUUGUGUAAAACGCUUUAAGAAACUUAACUUUUUACAUGAGAAAACCACUUAAAAUCCGUUCAUUAAUCAUCUUUCUUCCUAUUGUUAAAUGGACUUGUCUUCUUCCCAUUGGCUAAUGCAGCUGUCUGCUCCUGAAAACUUCAGGGCAGCAGCAUGCGGAGGAUGAGCACAAAACUGCAAGCAGAUAUGAUAGAGGUUUCCCACACACCCCCCCUAUUGUUAAAUGUGUGUGAAUUCCCCAAUUCUAAGCCUUCCAUGCAAUAUCACAAUUCAGUGUUCCUUUAGAGGACUUACUUUGAUCAUCUGCAAGACUGCCCCUUCCAGGAUUUUGAGAGCUGCUCUAUCGCUCCUUCAGCAGCACUUCCAGAGGAUGGGUGAAAGUAUGAUGCCCAUGGCGUAAGCUCAGCUUUUCAUAUCAGUGGAGAAGACUUGCUUCUUUUUUUUGUUAAUAAUAUUAUACAUAUGGUUAUCUUAAUUUAUACAAGUCUUAUUUUCAUUUUCAUCACCAACUCUUCAUGCAUAGCUCCAUGUCAUUCUGACUGCUCUCUCUUUUCUUUCUUUUUUUUAGUUUCUCAUUUAUUUUCCUGCUAUUUCAGAAACUGGUCUCUGAAUAGCUUUCCAAAAAUAAUUCUCCCUAGACAAUACCUUUUCUGUUUUUAUGGAAUUGCUGCUGGUGGCUCAAUGGCUUUGAAUUCUUGACAGUGGUGAAAGCAGUUUUGAGCUACAAGAUCAGGCUGGAUCACUUCCUGCCUGCUCUAUCAGGUAGAACAGUAUCUUACCCAAAUUAAGAAGAGGAUUUUGUUGAUUGCUGAGGCAGUUUGUUUCAGGGUUCUUUGAUUGUUUGCAGGUGAUAUAACAGAAGCUUAAGAGAGGGCUCUUCUGGCCUGAUGGAAAAAACCCUCCUGUUUUAUUAGAAAUUCCUACUCUUUGUGUCUGACUUCUGUGGUUUCCUGGCAGUUAAUUCUUUGAAAAAACUUGAACAGUCUGAUGUGGUUAAGAAGGAUACCAGUAUUUUGUUAUCUUUAUAUGACUGUGUUAACAUGUACUUUUUUUUUUUAAAAAAAAGGAUAGAAAAUGGGGGAAAAAAAAAAAAGAAAAAGUCUUUAAGUACUAGAGAUGAGUGGCAGAAUUCUGGUCAAGUGUUAAAUGAAGAUGUGGGCAGACUGACCUAUUUGCUGUUCAUUCUCAGCAAUAACAAAUUCUGUAUUGUUCAGGUGAAUGAUCAGUGCAUUUAUAUAAGCUUUUUUCUCAGCUGUGUUGCCUCACUACCAGCACUUCAUGCAUUGAACAAGUAUGGCUGCAGAAUUUAAGACAAGAAAUAUGGAAGUCCAAUCACAACCACUUAUAAAAUUAAUCGAAACCUAUUUGCUACACCACAGAGUGAAACAGCUAUCUCAGAGUGGCAUUGAUCUGUCAUAAGAAGCAGUCUACUACAGCAUCAAAGAAAGCUUCUCUUUCUUGCUGAUUUAUGUCUUCAGAACGGGACAGGCGGUUUUCUUUAAAUCUCAGCCACCAAACUUUGGACCAACUUGCUGUCCUCACAUCAGCAUUCUUGUCAAGUGUGUCAUCCUUCUGAUCAGCUAUGGAGUGAGUCAUGAGCUUCAUAACUUGUGUCAAACAUAAAUGUCUGAAAAGUUUGGAGCCUGCUUUUGGGGAAAAAUCUUGGAUUCUGGAAUCAACUGGGCCUCCAGAUGUGUGGAAAAUGACUAAAACAGAAUUGCCUUCAACAGGCGCAGUGAACAUUAGUAAAAAAGUCUCAUCUUUAAAGUUAGUCUUGCUCAUCUUAAUGGGAAUGAGUAUCUUUGGUACUGGCAGCAGGCAGGUAGUGACUCCCACUGAAAAUAUAACACAUGAGAGUACAAGAGGUGUUAGGUGAACUAAGUAACCAAAACAGCUUGGAAGACAAAUAACAUUUCUUGCUACUUCUGGCACUGAAGUUUCUAGUUUAAGUUUGUUCUCUUCCAUGCUGUCUGUGGGCUUGUACUUUCAGUUAAAUUCCUGUAAAGUUUUUGAAAGAUAAGCAUCUAUUUCCAUCACAGAUACUAAAGAGAGGAUUCAGUUAUUGGGAGUAUUCAGAAACAUGAUAUUGUGAAAUUUUUGGCCUGACAUGUCUCAAUUGUACACUUAGCUAUGUUUUUCCAGGGUCAUAGCUAGACUUUGGUUCAUUUUGUCAGCUGUAGAAUAUUUGGAGUGGAUUACAAACAGGAACGUGGAACUAAUUUUAUCGUGUUGAUUUUAUGUUCAGUGACUUCUGCACUGGUCUUUAAUUUGUCAUCUUCACUCUAGUUAUGGGCUCAAGUAUUCUGACAUCCAGAAUAGGCCCUGGUAUUAGAGACUUCAGUAACAACAGUCUUUUUGUCUUAGAGCAUUUGAAAACUGACAGGCCAUUCUUUAAACUGUUUGAUCAAAUUUAACGGGGUUUGAUGGUCUUAUCUCAUUUUUUCUCAGUUUUCUACACAUUAUAGGGCAGUCUGUGGUGAUGAGUACUUCAGAAAAGUCAGUUUAACUUGUGAAAUGCCAGUCUGCUAAAAACAUCCUUUGUCACUUCCCCAGCCCCCACCCACCUCCUCUUACAGACAUGCUCUAGGAGUUAAUAAAAAACACACCAGACAGAAAACCCAGUGUAGGCAAAAAAAGAAAAAAAAAAUCUCCCUGAGAGAGCUGUAGCAACUCCCACGCAAUAAAUUCACAGCUGAAUGAACACUGCUGCUGUUUUGCCUAGGCAUGGAUCAGAAUUGCUUUUUUUUUUUUUGGUGUCUGGCUGUUUGUGUGAAUAUGCCCCUGGUGUCUGACCUCCCUCCCCACUGUCCCAGGCCCCACAAAAGUGACUGUAAUCCUCCUGGCUCCAGUUGCCUCCUCUGAUCUGUUCUGCCAGUCCUUAACUUGUAAGGCGUCCCAUUGCACAGAUGUCCUGGAGAGGAUGGCCCGCUCCCCAUCCCAGUGCUCCAUGUGUUGGCUGCCUCUUCUCCACAUGCUUGGGAGUGACUGAUCCUGGCUGCAUUAGUUUGCUAGCUGAAAAUUAAACCGGACUGGGUAGUUUAAAUUUGUUUUAAGACACUACUUUAUUUUUAUUAUUCUUUAUUUAUGAAUCACAAUUAGCAUUUAGGCCUUCUUGUGAGAAGAAGUUGAGCUAAGUGUAAAUAGUUGUUUUUUUGUAAGGAAGUAAAGAAGGUGGUAGCUUAUCUCUGUAAGGAAGCUGAAGGUUGCCUGAGGGAAUGCACCCCUGUGUAUUGCUGCCCUGAAUAAUUUGAUGGGGAGAGCUGAGCCUCUGAGAUGUACCCUGGUGCUGAUAUAUGUUGUAUUUAGUUGGUGUAGAAUCAGAAUAUCGUGAGUAGGAAAUGACCCAUAGGGAUCACAGAGUCCAUCUCCUGGCUCUACACAGGACCGCCCAAAAUUCAAACCCUAUGUCUGAGAGCGUUAUUCAAAUGCUUCUGGGACUCUGGCAGCUUGAGGCCAUGACCACUGCCCUGAUGAGCCUGGUCCAGAGCCUGACCAUUCUCUGAUCAAGAACCUGUCUUUAAAAUCCAGCCUGAUCCAAACCUGAUGCAGUUCUGUGUGUCCUGUCACUAUCACCAGAGAGAUCAGUGCCUGACCUUCCACAUCCUUCCUUAGAAAACUGUAGGCUGUUGUGAGGGCUUUCCUCACUCCCCUCUUCUCUGGACUGAACAAGAAGAGGAACCUUGGCCACUCCUCAUGUGUCUUGCCCUCUAGACUUUUAACCAUCUUUGGAGCCCUCCUUUGCACACUCUAAUUGUUUUAAGUCUUUCUUAUAAUGUGGUGCCCAAAACCGCAUGCAGCAGUAGUCAAUAUGAAUAGUGAACUGAAAAAUGUUCAGCAUCUCUAUUAAAAGGCGAUGACCUGGCUGUGGCCAUCAGUUGAGGAGGACAGAGCAGUGCUCCACACUGGGAUGUCUUCAGGUAGAGAUAAACUGGUGAAAUGGCAGACCUCUGAAAACCAGAAACCAGCAUUCUGGAAACCCAGCAGUGGGAAUUUUGCCACAGUGGAAGUGGGAUAGACCAGGAAUAUGAUCUUGUUGGCAGGUUUGCACUGCUGUUGUCUGAUGGAGGUUAUGCCUACUUUGCUCCACUGGCAUUAGCCAUGGUGCUGUAUGGGGAGAGAGACUGCCCAGGACAGAAGCAUCACUGUUAUACACUUCCUCACUCAAUUCAAUUUCCCUGCUGAUCACCAUUGGAGAGCAGAUUGCAGCUGGGGGAAGUGAUGUUGGUGGCAGUGCUGCAGCUCUGUAGGUUCAGUCAUGCUAGAGAUUAGGUCUGCUUCAAGCUGUCUCAUGUCCAUGCCCUUCCUCUGAUCCCAAUCAUUAAAAGAUAAGAUUUCUUGAAAUAUCAGCAAUUUUUUUGCCCCCCCCCUGGCUGGAGCAAACCACUUAGCAUACAGAUGUGGGAACACUUGAAUAGGUUUUCAGUGGAAAAGAAAUGCUGAGCUCCUAAGAUGUAUAAUUUAUACAGACUAAUCAUCUUUCACCUGCAGAGUGCUGGUAAAUGCUGCUUUUGUACCGUGGUCAAGGGCAUGCAUCAAUAAGCCGGAAAAAAGGGAUGUGGUGAUAGUAUUUGUUUCUUCUG
rnacentral:lncRNA from 1 species